ensembl:lncRNA
AGCAGACGCUUUUAUUGAGAGCAAUUUACAGUCAGUAAAUUGGAUCCAGGUGCGACUGUCGUCACUGUCACAGCUGCAACCUAACUAUUUAACAUUACUGAUCUCUAAGCAAUGAUGCCACCGCUGCUGAUUCCUUGCCUCUCAACCAGAGAAAUACCUGGCUGACUACAGUGGAGUUGCAGGCCAAUGACGUCACCAGGCGAUGUUCCCACAUCUGAGCAGAGGAUCCAAUACGACAAACCAUGCAGCAGAUCCCCAAUGAAAAUAAUCCAACUGGUAACUCUGAAUUGGACUACUGGUUUCUGUCAAAACACCCACACUGUGAUUGAAAGUGACCUUGUGAAAAUCCUAGAUAUGGAACAGCUUGGAUGUCAUCAGUCUUUGGGCAAGUCAUGAUGAGGUUAAAUCUCUUGCUCCUUCCCUCUGCCUCUCCUGGCCUCUUCUCUGUCACUUCUCCCCUCCUCUCCUCGUAUCUCCUCUACAGCACGUGGAUAUUGCGGCCUUCUUGAUCAAGUUCUAAUGAAGUGGUAGGCAAGUUGAGAACAAGUUCUCAUUUACAAUUGCAACCUGGCCAAGAUAAAGCAAAGCAGUUCGACACAUACAACGACAGAGUUACACAUGGAGUAAAACAAACAUUGGUAGGCUUGAUUACCAACAACGACGAGACGGCCUACAGGGAGGAGGUGAGGGCCCUCGGAGUGUGGUGUCAGGAAAAUAACCUCACACUCAACGUCAACAAAACUAAGGAGAUGAUUGUGGACUUCAGGAAACAGCAGAGGGAACACCCCCCUAUCCACAUCGAUGGAACAGUAGUGGAGAGGGUAGUAAGUUUUAAGUUCCUCGGGAUACACAUCACAGACAAACUGAAUUGGUCCACUUACACAGACAGCAUCGUGAAGAAGAAGGCGAUUCGGUUGAAGAGCAUGCAUUUAGUUUUACUUUUACUUAUUUAAUCCAUUUUGAAUUCAGGUUGUAACAUAACAAAAUGCGGAAUAAGUCGAGAGUUAUGAAUGCUUUUUGAAGGCACUGAAGUUUUACAUCAGGAUGCACAACCAUUUUGAAUGUGUAAAUUUUGUUAUACAAGGGAACUUUACUGAUUAAUUGUGACACAGCUCGAAUAAUUAACAGGCAAAUCAUAACUGCAAAGCUUUUUCAGAAACUUUUUUCAUCAUUAAUUUUGUAACAAGUCCUAUGAAUUGUUGUGAUUGCAUUGUGUUGAAUAGAAAAUAUACAACUGCUAGGUCUCCUGAGGUGCACAUGUCAAGCUAGCUUGUGCACAUUUGAUUUAGUCCUCAUUAAUUUACUUGCAUACAACUCCUUUAAUUUUUAAAGUGGUUGUGGUCACUGUGGUACAGAUUUACCUUCCUCCAACUUGUCUCAGCCACGCAGAUCCAUGUCCCUGGCAACACUGGCAGAAUGCCCAAAAGCUUCCCGCACUCAUGCUUGUGAUGAAGUUACUGCUCGGGCUCAUGCUAUUCCCGUAUUAGUGCACAGGCAGAGUAGUCCCAGUAAAAUCGAAACUAGCAAGAUGGCGGCAGCCACGAAUUGGUAUAUGCAACCGUGAGUAGAUUGCGUUUUAAACAACAAUCGGGCAUCUUGGAGAGGCUGUCUCUAGUUAUUAUUAUUGGUGCUUUCAGGACAACUGGGAACUCUGGAAAAAAAACGUGCUCAAAUCAUGAUUACAGUGAUCUUCAGGUCGGAAAGUCAGAGCUAUAGAAUGAUGCCAGAGUUUCCGACAUAGAAUUCUGAGUUGGAUGACCUUUCAAAAGAUAUUUCCCAGUUUGAGUUUUAUUUUCAGUUACCACUUGUCUUUGAAGGCACUGAAGUUGGAAGUCUGAGAUUUCAGAGUUCCCAGUUCUUUGGACCGCAGCAAGAAGCUCCGUAUGUGCAACCCCGAAUUUACAACCACAAACCAUUUUGGCACAUGUUAUAUGUUACAAAACGCAGAGUGUGCAAAUGUAACCUUUAUUUAACUAGGCAAGUCAGUUAAGAAUAAAUUCUUAUUUACAAUGAUGGCAUAGCCCGACCAAACCCGGACGACGCUGGGCCAAUUGUGCACUGCACUAUGAAACUUCCCAUCACAGCCAGGAUUCUAACCAGGGACUGGACUGACACAACUUGCAGCUAAAAAUGCAUUGACUUCGACCACUGUGCCACGCGGGAGCCCUUAGACAUGGGCAAAUGUAAUUUUUAUUCACAGAAGAAGAUUCACCAGUCCAAAGUUUAGUGAUUGUGUUGCAUUUAUCCUCAAAUUGAGUUGCAUGCUUGCAAAUCGUAUUUAAUGUAUUCACAUGUCAAGUUACAACUUUGGAACCAUUCUUACAUUGUGUUGGUAAGGUUAGGGAUACUCACACACACAGUGCUUUUAAUAUACAUUGUUUUCAACCUGUAUAUUUGACACACUACGACAUACAUGAUUACGUUGUGCAUGUUCAUUUAUACAGUAAUUACUAUUCAAUCUGUCCUCAUCUGGGAUUUGAACUCUUGAUUCACGGUACUUUGGUCUUCCUGCUAUGCCAUCUUCCUGCUAUAUCUGUGUCAUGUAUCAAUUAAUCUGACUAUUCUCUAAUCAUUGAUUUUAUUUACUUAUUUCUGUACAGUAGUCUUAUGUUGGUGGGGCAUAUUAACCUGUUUUAAUCAUACUCCUGCAUCACUAUGAUCAAUAAAAUAUUUUCUUGAGUAUACUUUUAACCAGUGGAGGUCAGUGCUGUUUAAAAUGGGUUGUUUUUUUUCAUGAGCAUGGCCUUAUUUCUUUACUGCAUGUUGAAUGACUGUCAUUCAUAUUCCAUUCACCCAGUUGAACAGCGAUUAGUAAAACCAAAACCUUACCUUGACUUGGAAGAGUUUCAGUGUUGUGUUGGAUAGCCAUAGCCAGC